rnacentral:lncRNA from 1 species
AGCUCCUGCACUGGCGGUUCCACUGGAUGCGGUGGGUGCGGUGGAGCCGGUGGAGGAUGUGGUAACAUGAUGACCAAUGAAAAUGUUCCAUCAUUAGUAGCGGAAGCUCCCAUCGACGCAGUUGCAGCUUGAUUAUUUAAAUAAAGAUGAGCGAUAUUAAGGUAUAUCUAUGUGAUGUUAACAAAUGGACUAACAAUAUAAUAAAACUAAUGAGAUGUGUUGUUAUGUGUUUUCUUUUCUUUUAAAUAUUUAUAAGUUGUAAUAAAACAUAUAUAGUCCAUGGUAUAUAGUUAAACGUUUUCUAACAAUGCAUAUAUAUAUGGUUCUUCAGAUAUAGAGAUUUUCUUAAGAGGGAUUACAAAUAUCAAACUUUAUAAUAUGAAUAUCACAGAAUGAUCAUAGCAAAACUCGUCAAGCAAGCAGCAGCAAUGAACCUGAACCCAAAUUGCCUGAAUAAUCUCGUCCCAGGCGAGCCUAGUCUGCGUUUUAGUGAGGCUUUAUCUUAGAAUAGUUUUUGGAUAACAAUGAACUUUUUUUUCAGCAUAAGUGAAGAGUAUUUUGGAAUUGGAAAAUAUCGCCAAUAGAUGAACAGUUUUCUUAAUAGUAAUUUGGAAUUGAAAUAUUAAUUGAACCUUCAAUUUUUUCACUCAAUGUGAGUGUGAUACAAC